rnacentral:rRNA from 1 species
GUAGGUGGCAAGCGUUGUCCGGGAAUUAUUGGGGCGUGAAGCGCGCGCAGGCGGUUCUUUAAGUCUGAUGUGAAAGCCCACGGGCUCAACCGUGGAGGGUCAUUGGAAACUGGAGAACUUGAGUACAGAAGAGGAAAGCGGAAUUCCACGUGUAGCGGUGAAAUGCGUAGAGAUGUGGAGGAACACCAGUGGCGAAGGCGGCUUUCUGGUCUGUAACUGACGCUGAGGCGCGAAAGCGUGGGGAGCAAACGGGAUUAGAUACCCUGGUAGUCCACGCCGUAAACGAUGAGUGCUAAGUGUUAGGGGGUUUCCGCCCCUUAGUGCUGCAGCUAACGCAUUAAGCACUCCGCCUGGGGAGUACGGCCGCAAAGGCUGA